rnacentral:misc_RNA from 1 species
CGACUUCUCCCGUCUUAUGCGCUCGCCUUCUCUCGUGGUCUCCUCCAUUGCUUACCCUCUCUCUCACGCCCUGCCUGGCGCACAGCCUUUUCUUUUGGCUUGCUCCCCUCAGCGUUGCGGUCGCCUCUACUCUCGUACCCGGCCCUCCCCACCCCACUCUGCUCGCGCGUUGUUGUACCUGUCGCUCCUUCGAGGUAACGGUGUGGAGGAGAGGGAAUGGAGGAGGCGUGGGGUGGGUACUCUGGACGACACAGAGCUGAUGCCGAGGCGCGGUGUAUGAUUGGGAGAAAGCAAGCAGCGCAUCGACGAGCUGACGAGGGCGAAGCUGCUUAUGGCGCUAGCCACCGCCACUCUCAAUUCAACAGCAACCGUUAAAAAAAUGCAUAAACAGCAGAUUAGCUGACGAUCAAAGAGAGCAUGCACAGACACGCAGGCAGGCCUGUCCUACCCCUUUCCUGUACUCUGCGUUAUGUGCGCACUCGCAGAUGACGCAGUAAGCGUGCACGAGAGCACUCGUCGCCCAUUGUCAUCCCCCUUCGUACGAGUUAUGGAGAGGGGGUGAGGUGUUGAGUGGAGGAGAGAAGCCGGGGGUGGCGGCAGUGCACAGGACUUGGUCUCUGCUAAGUAGGGGCCGUUUUGACAGGUGUGUGGGGCGGCAGCCCUCGUCUUUGUCUCCCUCUCAUCUUCUUGCCCCCCCCCACACACACACACCGGCAUACAUACGUGCCCGCAGGCAAAACUGGACGAUGCCAUAUCUCGAACAUGGCCUGCUCAGUUGGAUUUCCCUUUUUUUCUCUUGCAGGUACUCCCCGAGAUUGUGUUGUGGCAUACUGCGCGUGAUACGGCACAACUGGGGCUGAUACCAAGCGGCAGGAGGUGAGGAGGGCAAAGAAGGGGCUGGGUGGCGAGGGACAAGGGAGGGAAGGAGAUACGAGGACGUGCUGGUAUCGGACUGUGAUCUGG